AAAACAUGAUAUUGCAAAACAAA
rnacentral:snRNA from 1 species